CCCAAUCUCCCGCUGAGUGUUCUGAGAGGCGUUGGGUCAGGAUGUAAUGAAGAGGGUGGGGUGAGAGAAGAGCGGCUCACCUGACUGCAGAGCUCCAGGUUCUGGGAGUACACAGCUAUCUGCCGUCUUGGCUGCUGCUCCUCUGACAGCUGCACAGGGAGUCAUGUGCUGCGACGGCUCUUCUGUUGCUGACAAGCUAGGCUGGCCCUGAAUAAACAGCACUUCAUCAUCAACACAACCCAACUGUAGACACAGCUGAAGAAAGAAGCAAGCCAGUCCUCUUGAAUCGCUGAUUACAAGGCCAGUUACCCUUGGCAUGUGCAGUGUCUGGAUUGCACAGUUUGUCUGUGUCUGGUUUUUCCUGGGGCUUGAGACAUCACAUUAGUGAGGCUCACAGAACAUCUAUCUUAGCUACUCCCAGCUUCAGGCACAGUUUUUGCAGACAGCUCCUUCUGAGCCAGACUGAAUGGGCGAGAAGUAGACCUGCAGCAUCUGCUGGACCCUGAGCCACAAGCAUGAUCUAGGAAAACUCCAUAUCUAGCUCCCUGAUUUUCCCUCAUCUUUCUCGACUUUGUUCUCACUCUCAUCCUAAAAGGCCACUCAGAAUGCCAGUAUGCCCAACAUGUGGCUAGAAGUCUGGGCAAAAAACAAUUUUUCUCCUAUUCACAUCUUGAUCUGUAGUCCCCAGCAUUAACUUACUGAGCAGGGACUUCUAGAGAAAUGCCUUGUGCAUAAUUGCAAUUCAGACACUCAACAAGUGAGCUGUAUUAUUCAGUUAUGGAUGCAUUUUCUGCAUCUAAUGUGGAAAAUCUUGCAUAGGCUGAGGUUACUCUUGCUUGGAAUGCACUGUCCCUCCUGUCCACGGCUCCCCACCAAACCUUGCCUGUUUCACUCCACACUUCUUUCUCCUCUUGGAGUUACCUCCAAUUUUUCUAUACUAAAAAAUGACACCAACCCCAUUCUUUUUGCAAAAAGUUUUUUAAAGGUUCAUUCAUUUAUUUGAAAGUCAGAGUUAUAGAGAAGGAGAGGCAGAGGCAGACAGAAAGAAAGAGAGAGAGAUAGAGAGAUAGAGAUAGAGAUAGAGAGAGAUGAUAGAGAUCUUCCAUCUACUAGUUCACUCCCCAAAUGGUGCCAGUGGUCACUGCUAGGCCAGGCCAGAGCCAGAGCUUCAUUCUGGUCUCCCAUGGACUUUGAUCAUCUUCUGCUGCUUUUCCAGGUCCAUUUUCAGGGAGCUAGAUCAGAAAUGGAGCAGCCAGGACUUGAAUCGGCACCCAUAUGGGAUGCUGGCACUGCAGGUAGUGACUUUACCUGCUAUGCCACAGCAGCACCAGUCCCCCCAGAUGUGUUCUAGAAGAGGGGUUCCUCACUUGUGUUUGGUAAUAGUCCUUAUGUUUCAAACUAGAAGCAAAAGCCAUAAUAACUUAGAUGGUCUCUGUGCCCUCAGACAAAUCUUAUUUCAAGGUGAAAAAAGUAGCUGAAAAUCAUAGCACUUCUAUGAGUCUGGAAGAAACAGGCUGCUCAGCCCACCCUCUAACACGCCAUCCACUGGUCCUUUAACACUUGACUGCUGACCUCCUGAUGGAGAAACAUGAGGCAAGAUUCAGAGGUGGCUUUCUGCACUCUACCUUCCCCUCUGCCCGGCGAGGGGAGAGAGGGCAUCCAAAAAUUAAUCACAAGGGACUGGCAUUAUGUAGCAUGUUCAGUCACCACCUGUGGCACUGCAUCUAUUAUUGGCGAACAGGUUAAAGUCCCAGCUGCUCUACUUCUAAUAUAGUUCACUGCUAAUGACCUGGGAAGAUGGUCCAAAUGCUUGGGCCCCUGCCACACAC